rnacentral:lncRNA from 1 species
CCUCAUGAACAGUUUCUUCACAGUCAUCUUGCUCCAAUUCAUGACACUCUCAUCUCCUCUUUAUCACAUCUUGUACCAGCACAACUCGCAAUCGAAAAAUCACACGGAAUUUCAUUUUGUUCAAACUACACUAUCAUACACGGAUCAUUCCUAGACUAACUGUUACAAUAUCACCUUCAACUGCAGUAAACAAUGAAUAAUUGCAAUAAUACAAAUCACACAAAAACCAAUUCCUUUAAGGGUUCUUCA